CCUACGAGAGGCAGCAGUGGGGAAUAUUGGACAAUGGGCGAAAGCCUGAUCCAGCCAUGCCGCGUGUGUGAAGAAGGCCUUCGGGUUGUAAAGCACUUUCAGUGGGGAAGAAAGCCUUGGGGCUAAUACCCUCGAGGAAGGACAUCACCCACAGAAGAAGCACCGGCUAACUCCGUGCCAGCAGCCGCGGUAAUACGGAGGGUGCGAGCGUUAAUCGGAAUUACUGGGCGUAAAGCGCGCGUAGGCGGUCUGAUAAGCCGGUUGUGAAAGCCCCGGGCUCAACCUGGGAACGGCAUCCGGAACUGUCAGGCUAGAGUGCAGGAGAGGAAGGUAGAAUUCCCGGUGUAGCGGUGAAAUGCGUAGAGAUCGGGAGGAAUACCAGUGGCGAAGGCGGCCUUCUGGACUGACACUGACGCUGAGGUGCGAAAGCGUGGGUAGCAAACAGGAUUAGAUACCCGAGUAGUC
rnacentral:rRNA from 1 species